UCUCGAUUGGUCUAGUGGUAAGGAUACCUGCUUGUCAUCAUAGAGUUCGCAGGUGGCCGGGGUUCGAUUCCCCGAUCGAGAG